rnacentral:rRNA from 1 species
ACUGAGCGCAAAAAACCGCCCUGCCUUUGGAGAGAAGCAGGGCGGCGGCACAUCGCGGACACCGGGUCAGGGGGAGAGAGGCAGGUGGUGCCCGCGCAUCGGGUGUGGCCUAGCGCGAGGUUGCUGCUUCGUGGACGGCCGUGAAGUUCGGGUGAUUGAUGGUCCGGACGGCACUGUCCAUGGUGCGGGUCUCGCAGUACCGCAAGGCGAGUGCCUGCGGGAACGGGAUGCCGGCGCUUUCGGCGAUGCA